UAAGUAAGUGGUGGAAAUUAAACCAAAUGGGAUAUCUUUAGUAAUUGCGAAUGAACAGGGAUAUGCUUAGCUUGACAAAUGGAGCUAUUGGCUUUGAAUUGUAUUGUGGAAAUGUAUUACCAACAGAGGUGCAGGUGCCAGCCUAUUAAAUAAAGCGUCAAUGAGGGUGAGAAUCCUGUUUGUCAUGUGCAGCCCUUUGUGCACGGUGUAUAUUUGCUGAGUCACACUCCUUGGCAUUGGAAUGCAAAGUGGGUGGUAAGUUUCAUGUACAGGUAAACAUGCAAUUGAGACUGAUAGCACACAAGUACCAUGAGGGAAAUAUGAAGAGGACUUUGAAAAGAGAAUUAAAUGAGUUUGUAUUUGCUGAACACAAAGUAAACAGACUUGAUUUGCUUGGUGGGAGUGUUGCACUUGCUUGACAAGAGCUUUGGGCUGUGGGUGUAAUGAUUCUUUCUUUGCAUGCCAGUUUCUAUGUGUACAUCUGAUUACCUUUGCACAUGAAUGAUAAGUCUCCUGUGGGGGGUGGAUUGCAUGUGCAUGUAAUGAUUUGUGUUUUGAUAAAUGUGUCUGGUGUAUGUGUGUGUGUUCCUGUGCUUGGGGAUGCUUCCUUCCUUGGACUUACAAGCCCUGACACACACAUGCUGGCAAAAUGCUUCUGCUUGACCCG
rnacentral:rRNA from 1 species